rnacentral:rRNA from 1 species
UACGUAGGUGGCGAGCGUUGUCCGGAAUUACUGGGCGUAAAGAGCUCGUAGGUGGUUUGUCGCGUUGUCCGUGAAAACUCACAACUCAAUUGUGGGCGUGCGGGCGAUACGGGCAGACUGGAGUACUGCAGGGGAGACUGGAAUUCCUGGUGUAGCGGUGGAAUGCGCAGAUAUCAGGAGGAACACCGGUGGCGAAGGCGGGUCUCUGGGCAGUAACUGACGCUGAGGAGCGAAAGCGUGGGGAGCAAACAGG